GGAGGUACAGCUCAGUAGUAGAGCACAUGCUUAGCAUGCAUGGGGUCCUGGGUUCAAUCCCCAGUACUGCCA
rnacentral:tRNA from 1 species